rnacentral:lncRNA from 1 species
AAAGGAGCGCAAAAAAUAAAAAAUAAAAAAUGAUGCUCUUGAGCAUCAAAACAAAUUCUGAUCUGUUAACGGGUUGCCCGAUGAAUUCGUGCCAUCUUAAACAGAAGCUGUUAUAAGUUGUCUAAAUUCAAUCUAAGACAUGUCGGAGACAUUGCCAAAAUUCUGCAAGCGGCUGCAAAAGAAGAUAAUAAAAAUAAGCAAGUAGGUGGCAUUUGUCCUUGUGAAAAAUACAACUAUUUGACUUUUAUUUAGG